rnacentral:RNase_P_RNA from 1 species
CCGGUAAGCCAAGCGACAGCUCCGACGUAUUGUCGGAGAGGAAAGUCCGGACACUCGUCCCGACGUUAUGUUGGGACAAUUGUACGGGUUAACGGCCCGCCGCAGUAAUGCGAGAGGUGCGAACAGAGACGCUUCGGUUCGAAAGAAUCGGAGAAGCCCUAUCCUAACGUAGAAGGCUUAAUCCUGCCAUAGGGAUAAGAAAGCAGGAAUGAAACGGCUAAAUCCUUAUUGGGUGCAAGGCUGUACCGAGCACUCAACGCUUUGAGUACUCGGGAUGCCGCCAGAGCCAGAGAGCAAUUGAUGGCCCAGAUAAAUUGUCGUUAUCCGUCCGCCAGUUGGCGGAUGGAACAGAAUCCGGCUUAUGGCUUGCCGGUUAG